GUGGCAUGAAAGUCAGCCAAUGGGAGAGAGCUGCCACGUCCAUCAAAUGGGCCAAUCAGCGACAGGCAUGGUGGAAGCAGCUUUCAACUGGCAGAAUACCUCUGGGACCUCUUUUCCUUGUGCUGUUACUUUUGGUGAACUAAAAGUCAGUAAAGCAGAGCCUCAUUGUCAAUGAAAUCUUCAUUCAGAUGCUGUUUGACUCAAC